ensembl:lncRNA
GUUAGAUUGUUUUUGUCCCCAUGGUAGUUCGCAGUGCUCUCACGCACCCUAGUUCGCAGUGCUCUCACGCACCCUAGUUCGCAGUGCUCUCACGCACCCUAGUUCGCAGUGCUCUCACGCACCCUAGUUCGCAGUGCUCUCACGCACUUGUUUCGCCUCUAGCCAUAGCUAGUUUCAGGCUAGUGUCUCAUUGCCUGAGAGCUACAUUUUGUAUCCUUAGUUUUUGGCCUUUUGCCCUGUUCCUGAUCUUUUGUGUUUUGGAGUUUCCAUUGUGGAGGUAUCUUGUGUUUUUGGAUUUCAACCUUUUGAAAAUAAAAGAAACUAAGUUCGAAACGACAUCUCGCACUUGGGUCCUCUCUGACACACUUGGCUGAAACGCUGGUUCCCAAAUCCAGCGACUCGGGUCCCAUCCCCGAGAGCGAUCCUGACAGAACGACCCGAUCAACAUGGACCCAGCAGGUGUUACUCAACAGCGAUCGUUGGAGCAGAUCAGGGAGACACUGCUUCAGGGCGAGCAAGCCUUGGCGGAGCAACGGGAGUAUAUUAUCCAGCAGAAGGAUCCCGCUCGCCAGCAGGAGGACAUAGCUCGUUACCUUCGCUACAUGCAACGACUGGAACAAGUGAAGGCAUUACUACCGCCUUCUCUCCAUUUUCCCGUGCAACCUGGGCCACCGCGCUACAACGGCAAUCCAGGUGGUUGCAGACGCUUCCUCCUCCAAUGCCAUCUGGAGCUGAAGCGCCGGUCCGUCACCCUCUCCUCCGAACAGUCGCGCAUUGUCUUCAUGAUUGUCUUGCUCUCAGGCAAGGCCCUGGCACUGGCAACCGCCAUCUGGGAGAAGCAAGGCCCCGAGUGCUCUAGCCUCAGGGCGUUCCAGGCAGUGAUGCUGUGGGUCUACGACCGGGUUACGAUGGACAGCUUUGAGGCCGCCAUUGCCUCUGCCCUGGAGAGAGACGCCGCCCUGAACCCUGCUCUCCCGAUGACUGCUGCCGAUCCAGAUGCACCCAGCCUGGAUGCAGCAGCUUUGGAUGUCCCCAUCCCGAGUGAACCAGGCAGCCCGGAUGCCGCAGUUCCGGAUGCCGCCAGCCCGAGUGAACCAGGCAGCCCCGAUGCCGCCAGCCCUGGCGAACCAGGAACCCCCGAUGCCUCCAGCCCCGGCGAACCAGGCAGCCCCGAUGCCGCCAGCCCCGGCGAACCAGGCAGCCCCGAUGCCGCCAGCCCCGGCGAACCAGGCAGCCCCGAUGCCGCCAGCCCCGGCGAACCAGGCAGCUCCGAUGCCGCCAGCCCGGAGGCCGAAGCUCCGGGGGCCAACAGCCCCGACCCGGCAGCCUCUGCUGCCGACCCAGAAUCCGCAGCCACCGCUGCCGACCAAGACCCCGCAGCCACCGCUGACGACCCAGACCCCGCAGCCACCGCUGACGACCCAAACCCCGCAGCCACCGCUGACGACCCAGACCCCGCAGCCACCGCUGACGACCCAGACCCCGCAGCCACCGCUGACGACCCAGACCCCGCAGCGACCGCUGACAACCCAGAAUCCGCAGCCAUCGCUGCCGACCCAGAAUCCUCAGCCACCGCUGACGACCCAGAAUCCUCAGCCACCGCUGCCGACCCAGACCCCGCAGCCACCGCUGCCGACCCAGACUCCGCAGCCUCCGCUGACGACCCAGAAUCCUCAGCCACCGCUGCCGACCCAGACCCCGCUGCCACCGCUGCCGACCCAGACCCUCCAGCAUCCCUUCCCGAUGCGGGCCCAGCAGCCCUCUUUGCCGACACCAGCCCAGCAGCAACCCCUGAUGACGUCUCAGAUGGCGUUGCUGCUGUUGACUCCGCCGCCCCGGGCGAUCCGGCCCAAGGCGCCCCUGGCGCUCCUGUCCCUGUCCCAAGCACCCCAGGCGUCUGUGUUCCUGUCCCAGGCAUCCCUGCUCCCGUCCCAGGCGCAGGUGCCCUUGUCUCCAGUGUCCUCUGCGACUGCCCCAGCCACUGGUCCUGCAACUCCAGCCGUCGCUGACCCGGCAGCCUCCGCUGGUGCUGCAAUCCUGACCUCAUCCCCUGACGGCUCCUUCCCGAGCCUGGCCAGGGAGAUGCUUCUUGGUCUCCUUGAUCUCUGUUCGCCUGACUGUUCGCCUCACUCUGGUCGUCCACCCGACCUGCCGCCAAUAACUCAACCCCAGCCGCCAAUAACUUUUGUCCCCAUGGUUGUUCGCAGUGCUCUCACGCACCCUAGUUCGCAGUGCUCUCACGCACCCUAGUUCGCAGUGCUCUCACGCACUUGUUUUGCCUCUAGCCAUAGCUAGUUUCAGGCUAGUGUCUCCUUGCCUGAGAGCUACAGUUUUUGGCCUUUUGCCCUGUUCCUGAUAUUUUGUGUUUUGGAGUUUCCAUUGUGG